rnacentral:rRNA from 1 species
UACGAAGGGGGCUAGCGUUGCUCGGAAUCACUGGGCGUAAAGCGCACGUAGGCGGAUUGCUAAGUCAGGGGUGAAAUCCUGGAGCUCAACUCCAGAACUGCCUUUGAUACUGGCGACCUUGAGUCCUGGAGAGGAAGGUGGAAUGCUUGGUGUAGAGGUGAAAUUCGUAGAUAUCAAGCGGAACACCGGUGGCGAAGGCGGCCUUCUGGACAGUGACUGACGCUGAGACGCGAAAGCGUGGGGAGCAAACAGG